rnacentral:rRNA from 1 species
AAUAUUGCACAAUGGGCGAAAGCCUGAUGCAGCAACGCCGCGUGAGCGAAGAAGGCCUUUGGGUCGUAAAGCUCUGUCCUAGGGGAAGAAAAAAAGGCGGUACCCCUGGAGGGAGCCCCCGCCAACCUAGUUCCCGCAGCCGCGGUAAUUCGUAGGGGGCAAGCGUUAUCCGGAAUUAUUGGGCGUAAAGAGUGCGUAGGUGGUUUUGUAAGCGCGGGGUGAAAGGCAAUAGCUCAACUAUUGUAAGCCUUGCGAACUGUGAGACUUGAGUGCAGGAGAGGAAAGUGGAAUUCCUAGUGUAGCGGUGAAAUGCGUAGAUAUUAGGAGGAACACCAGUGGCGAAGGCGACUUUCUGGACUGUAACUGACACUGAGGCACGAAAGCGUGGGGAGCAAACA